rnacentral:rRNA from 1 species
CAGUCGCCGCGGUAAUACGUAGGUGGCAAGCGUUGUCUGGAAUUAUUGGGCGUAAAGGGCUCGCAGGCGGUUUCUUAAGUCUGAUGUGAAAGCCCCCGGCUCAACCGGGGAGGGUCAUUGGAAACUGGGAAACUUGAGUGCAGAAGAGGAGAGUGGAAUUCCACGUGUAGCGGUGAAAUGCGUAGAGAUGCGGAGGAACACCAGUGGCGAAGGCGACUCUCUGGUCUGUAACUGACGCUGAGGAGCGAAAGCGUGGGGAGCGAACAGGAUUAGAUACCCGCGUAGUCCCUGUCUCUUAUAC